CCUAACGCCCUUCUCGUCGACUUCCAGCAGUCCACCACCAGCAGGUAUCUGUGUUUUUUACCUUGCAAUUCAUACAUUUUCGCUCGAUGUGCAGUGCUCUGAAUCGAUUUUAUGCAGUGAAUCAGUGUUUAAUUAAUGGAACAUUCCCUUGUCAUAUGACUGAGUUUAAGCCGUUUUUGAUUGCUAAUGUAACAUUGCCAUCACCUUGGGUUAAAGUUCCAUAGUACUUCUAGGAAGAACCGGAUUCAAGUACAUAGAUGCAGUAAACAGUGCACCCAUUGUACCUUUAUGGAUGUGGCGUUAAUUAUAUAUUUCAAUGUAAAGGAACAAACAAAAGGGGAAAAGGAGGAAGAAAGGUUAAGAUUUCUCAAUGUCAAAUUGUUGUGUCUUGUAAUGUCGAUAUGAAUAUUGUGUUAUAUAUCCCUAAUUGAUAGAUUUUAGAAAGAAAAUGUGGUAGACAUUAUUUGUUGUAUAUAAGUGUUGUUGAUAUGCUUAUAUUUAUCGCACGACUCAUUGUUUUAAUUUUUUUCUUCAGAUUUAGCCAGCAAUGGAAAAGAGCCUUCCGUAAUUGACGUGUAGUGUUAAUAUAUUUUGUAAGAAUUCGAAUUUGACCCAUCAAGGCUUCAAGUAUUUGUUGUAUAUAAGCUUUAAUCGAACUAACAGUGGGAAGCACUAGAAUUAGCACAUGACUUUAAUAUUUUGAUAGCUAAAUGUGAUCAGCUUAAUGUACAUAGGAUGACAUGAUAGCUCCUGCUUGCUGCUGUGUUGUAGAUUUUACUGAAACUAAAGCUGCAUUCGCCUUUCUAUAAUGGUCUCUGUGAUAAAGAAAACAUUAAAUCAACUAGUAGUGCAAUCAAUGUUGUGCCAACCAAGCAUUUACUUAGCAGGAUGCCCUCAUGUUUCCUGUUGAAAUUGAGUUCUUGAUUCUUAAAGUUAAAUACUAGUGCUUGUGUGUUUCUUAAUUCCUCCAUGCUCCGAGAGAUGCUUUCAGCUUUAUCAAUGGAGUUCUUCUUUUUCAAAAUUUAUACUUUUCUUGUAUUCUCAAGAAUUUGUUUUGCACUUCUAAUGUGCAAUGUCCAGGCAGUCAUAAGGGUACCUUCUAAUAAGUCUAUACCAGCAUUGAUAGUUUUUGGAGACUCUAUUGUUGAUACCGGUAACAAUAAUGGCCUCAAAACAAUAGGGAAGGUUAAUUAUCCUCCUUAUGGAAAGGAUUUCAUAGGGGGACAACCAACUGGAAGGUUUUCUAAUGGAAAAAUUCCACCAGACUUAUUGUGGAAGAACUGGGAAUAAAAGAUCUUUUACCAGCAUAUCUUGAUCCAACUUUACAACCAGUAGACCUCAUCACUGGAGUUCAGAUUUAAUGACAGAUUAGUGUGAAAUUGGAAGCUACUGUGGAUUCUGCAGUCUUUUUUUUGUGAUGUCUCUAUGAAUUUGCAGCUGGUGUUCACAGGUGGUAUAAGAAGUGAAUACAAUAUUGUACUUUGGUGUCUGUAGUUAAAGAAAUCGCAUCUGGAACUAUGUUUGUGUUAAUAUAGAUUCAUUUAUGUUUUAGUAUUUACAAAUAACAAAUAUGACCAAAUGGUCCAAAUGCUAGAUUCAUUUAUGUGCAAAGUGCAAGUAAUUGUUCA